ACUGAGUAAAUGUCAUCCGUCAAAUUGAGUAGGUCGAUUUUUAAUGGUCGUUUUGCGAAUGGAGAUGGGAUAAAGCUAAAAUGUGAACAGUGAAUGAUAUCAACAGAGUUGUGAAAAUUGUUUGUAUAAUUUGCAAACUUACUAUUAUUGUAUGAUAACCGCUUUAUGAAACUCCAAUUUCGAUGUGGAAGCAGUUACAGAUGGGGCUUCGUGCAUUUUUGCUAAUAGCAUCUAGAGUUUGGACAUGCUUAUGCUACACAUUGAAGAAACAGAGUCGAGCAAUAAUACAGCAUCAAUCAGUUAAAUACGAUAUUUUUCCUUUAUCACCUUUAUCAAGGCACAGACUAAGUAUAGUCAAACGGAAAGUGCUUGUGCUCGAUUUGGACGAGACCUUGAUACACUCGCAUCAUGACGGUGUUGUGAGACAGACAGUAAGACCGGGAACGCCACCAGAUUUUGUACUCAAAGUCAUCAUAGACAGACACCCCGUGCGAUUUUUCGUUCACAAAAGGCCACACGUCGACUUCUUCCUAGACAUAGUUUCACAAUGGUAUGAACUGGUCGUUUUCACAGCUAGCAUGGAGAUUUACGGAGCGGCCGUAGCUGAUAAGCUAGAUGCCGGCCGUGGUAUUCUUCAGAGGCGCUACUAUCGGCAGCACUGUACCCCCGACGUGCUGGGAUAUACUAAAGAUCUGAGUGCCAUUUGUAAUGAUCUCUCCAGUAUAUUUAUUUUGGACAACAGUCCUGGUGCCUAUAGAGCAUAUCCUGACAACGCCAUCCCCAUCAAGUCAUGGUUCUCUGACCCGACGGACAUAGCGCUCCUGAACCUGCUUCCGGUGCUGGACGCGCUUCGCUUCACAGCGGAUGUCCGGUCCGUUCUGUCGAGAAACCUGCACGCGCAGAAGCGAUGCCGUAACAGGAGCGAUUUACCGUCAAACGGUAAUCCUUCGAAAGUGCUCGAGCAGAGCGACAACUGCCUCGACAAUAUCGUCUCGCAAGUACAAGAGUUCGAGUGUUCGCCCCUCAAAGAGGGCGCUAGUAAAAAAUUCAAGUCACGCAUACCCCAAAGAACGUGCAUUAACUGAUACAAUACCUGUUAUUGAAUAGAGACGAAACGGUCGCACGAGACAGAUUAUUGACUAUCGCUUGAAUCUUUUCUAAAGUGUAAGAAUUAAGAUGUGCGAAUGUGAUAAAGCCUGGAUGGAAAAAGCUAUCUUCCAACUUUCCUGCAACCCUAUUGGUGAAGUAUACUCUUUUGUUAUAGUUUUUGCCUUUGUUUUGUUUAAAUUAUAUUUUUGUAUAUUUGUUUUACGUCUCCAGCUUUCUUAGCUCGUAGCUCACUAACUGUUUUAUUUGUAACUGUAAAUAUUAGGUUUAGCCGUUUGUCGUAGAUAAGCCAUAAUAUAAAUAAAACCAAUGAUUUGGUUAGGUUAAGUUUUGAUGUCGGUUCUUUUACGUGUUAUUACACACUUUGAUGAAAAUAAAUUAUUUAGUGAUAACGCAAUAUUCAGGUUGCUUUUACUUAUAUGUUUCAAACAGUAUAAGAAACCAAAGACAAGAUAUGUUUUAUCUACUGUACUGUGCGUUUGUAUGUUUCUGCAAAAAAAAAUUUUUGAUUUAUUGUAAAACUUACCCCUACGAUGAAAAACGAUAUCAUUUGCUGAUUCUUUUCCAAACUUGCAGAUGAGUAUUUCCUACACCGUUGUUCGUUCAAAUAGUAUCCUUCUUACUGAAACCUCAUUACGAAUGUCUAGCCAAGUUGUAGUUGAAUGUUCUAGUUUAAGUAUUUUUGAAUACAUAGCUUUAUGGAUGAUUUUCUGUAUCAGAAAAUGCCGAAAAGUUCAUUGUGCAUUCUCCAUAUAUCCAGUGAAGAAAGUUACCCUUUUGUUAUCAUUGGAUAUAGCCUAAUUCGACGAUAAAAUCGUGUACAUAUAGUUAGGAAAUUCCUGACGCAACAAGGAGUAGGAACUUUGCGAGUUACACCGGAAAAUCUUAUUUGAAAGACUUUUUUUGAUGGGGAAUGUUUCUUACUGUUUUUUUGGUUUGUUACAUUUCACAAACUGAAAAUGGACAGCGCUGAAUGAAUAGAGAAUCUGCUGAAGUAUAAUAAAGGGCAAACUGAAAAGUUCAUCUCCAACUUGAUUUUUCAGGGUGUCCCCUUUAUUACGCUUCAGUAGAUUUAUUUAUUUCUCAGAUAGUGGAAAGUUAUGAACUGAAAAAGCAGUAGGAAAUCCUUUUUCAAAUUCAAUUUUGUAGAUAUCAGUUCAUAAAGGCCCCAUAAUUGUACCUUGGGGCACAACAAAGUAAAGGUUUGGUUGUUGUGACUCAAUUCCAUCCUACAAUUUGUAGUGUCUUGUGACAUGUUGCUGGUACUUACGAAUUGUGUUGAUUAUUGUACAAAUCCUGUGCAGUUUGUUUUUGACACAGGUCCUAACUUCAUUCUUGAGUGUGCAUUGGAAGUUUUGUAAAAGAAUAUUGAUUAUCUAAAUAGUUUUUGCCUAUAUUCGUUAAAUUUGUUGACAUCAGAAUGUCAGAUUUUUUUUCAAUACUGUAGGUAGGAGCAAAAACACCUCCAGCCUGUUUUGCUGAUUUUCUCUAUAAGCAGAUCAUGUCAAUGUUGAUUUUGAAGAAACAUUAUUCAAGAUGUGUAAAAUCUUGGAGAACUGCGUACUCUCUUGUAUUUUUUGCGUACUACUGUAACUUUUGGCCUUCAAGAAUUUUCAUCCACUGCUAUUAUUGCUUUAAACUUUACACGAAAUACGAGAAAGAACAAUUUGUUUAGUUGUUUUAUGAAUGUUUAUGUAUAAAUUUGCAGUUCUUUUUAGAAAAUAAUUUGUAAAUAAGAUAUUGUAGUAUAUUUUACGUUGUUAUUUAUGAUUUUACCAGAUGUAAGAAGACUAUUUUACUCUGAACAAGUACCUACGAUUGACCUUUUACAAGAAAAUGUAAAUUAUUUGGUUAGAAUAAAAUUGACAGUACA